UCCGGUUUGACACCGGCAGUCUCACUAGAGUCCUCAGCAUUACCUGGUAGCAACUAGCGAUAGGGGUUUCGCUCGUUAAGGGACUUAACCCGACACUUCACAGCACGAGCUGACGACAGCCAUGCAGCACCUGUGUACGUUGUACCCGAAGGCCUUACUCCUGUUUCCAGGAGCUAAUCCGUACAUGUCAAGCCCAGGAUAAGGUUCUUCGCGUUGCUUCGAAUUGAGCCACAUGCUCCACCGCUUGUGUGAGCCCCCGUCAAUUCCUUUGAGUUUUAGCCUUGCGACCGUACUCCCCAGGCGGUACACUUAACAAUUUUUCUUCGAUCACAAUGGCGUCAGAGCCCCUGCGAUCUAGUGUACAUCGUUUAGGGCGUGGACUA
rnacentral:misc_RNA from 1 species